rnacentral:rRNA from 1 species
UGGGGAAUUUUGGACAAUGGGCGAAAGCCUGAUCCAGCAAUGCCGCGUGUGUGAAGAAGGCCUUCGGGUUGUAAAGCACUUUUGUCCGGAAAGAAAUCCUUGGCUCUAAUACAGUCGGGGGAUGACGGUACCGGAAGAAUAAGCACCGGCUAACUACGUGCCAGCAGCCGCGGUAAUACGUAGGGUGCAAGCGUUAAUCGGAAUUACUGGGCGUAAAGCGUGCGCAGGCGGUUUGCUAAGACCGAUGUGAAAUCCCCGGGCUCAACCUGGGAACUGCAUUGGUGACUGGCAGGCUAGAGUAUGGCAGAGGGGGUAGAAUUCCACGUGUAGCAGUGAAAUGCGUAGAGAUGUGGAGGAAUACCGAUGGCGAAGGCAGCCCCCUGGGCCAAUACUGACGCUCAUGCACGAAAGCGUGGGGAGCAAACAGGAUUAGAUACCUUGGUAGUCCACGCCCUAAACGAUGUCAACUAGUUGUUGGGGAUUCAUUUCCUAGUAACGUAGCUAACGCGUGAAGUUGACCGCCUGGGGAGUACGGUCGCAAGAUUAAAACUUAAAGGAAUUGACGGGGU